rnacentral:lncRNA from 1 species
UUUUUUUCUUUUAACAUCUGCACCUGUGGCAUUUGGAAGUUCCCAGGCUAGGGGUUAGACAGGUGCUGCAGCUGUGGCCCAUGACAUAACCACGGCCACACUGAAUCUGAGUGGCAUCUGCCACCUACACUGCAGCUUGUGGCAAUGCCAGAUCUUUAACCUACUGAGCAAGACCAGGGAUCCAGCCCACAUCCUCACAGAGACAGUUCUGGGUCUGUAAUCUACUGAGCCACAAUGGGAACUCCUCUAAUCUCCCUUUGGAUUUUUUUGACCCAUUUGGUGUUUACGAGUGAAUUGUUUAGGAGUUCCCAUCGUGGCGCAGUGGUUAAGAAUCUGACUAGGAACCAUGAGGUUCCUAGUGAUCCAUGAGCUGUGGUGUAGGUCGCAGAUGCGGCUCGGAUCACUUGUUGCUGUGGCUCUGGCGUAGGCCGGCGGCUGCAGCUCUGAUUCAAACCCUCACCUGGGAACCUCCAUAUUCCGUGGGAGUGGCCCUAGAAAAGGCAAAAAGACAAAAAAAAAAAAAAAAAAAAAAUUGUUUAAUUUCAACAACUAGGUGAAUUUUCCAGUUUUUAUUCUGCAUUAAUUUUUAGUUUCAUUCCAUUGUGCUCAGAAAAUAUACUUGGCAUUAUUUCAGUUUUCUUAAAUUUAAGACUUCUAGGAACUAAUAUGUUUAUGUUUCAUUCUAAAAACUGUUCUGCAUGUACUUGGGGAGAUUGUUGUAUUCUGUUGCUGUUAGGUGGAAUGUUCUAUAUAUUUCUUUCAGGUUCAUUUGGUCUCUAGUGCUGCACAAGUCCUCUGUUUCCUUGCUGAUCUGUCAAAAUAUUCUACCUAUUACUGAAACUGGAGUACGGAUAGCUCCUUCUUUUACUGUGUUGUGCUGUUUCUCUCUUCAGUUCUGUCAGUAUUGUAAUUGUGAACUCUGACAAUGGGUGGAUAUAUAACUGUUAUAUCUCCCUGGCAAAUUUACACUUUUAUCGUUAAAUUAUACCCUUCAUCUCUUUUGAAAGUUUUUGAGUCUAUAUAAAUAUGGUCAUCCUUGCUUUCUUUUAAUUACUGUUUGUAUGGAAUCUUUUCCAAUCCUUUCAUUUUCAUCUCUUUUAGCUUUAAGUUUCUGUCUGGGUUGUUGAGGUUAGACAUUAUACCACCAGAAAAUAGAAGUGCCAAAGCUAGGGAUUUUAUUUUGUUUAUAACUAUUCAACAGUCUUUAAAUAAGGUCUGACAUAUAAUUAAUGGUCAGUAAAUAUUUCUGAAUGAAUGAAAGACUUCUAGAAAGUUAUAUACUGGACUCCAUGAUUCACUUUUUUCAUCUACAAAUGAAGAUUACAUUACCUAUUACAUAUGGUUACAGUAAGAGGUUAAUGAAUUAAUGGAAACAAACUAUUAAUUGAAUGUUAUCUCUUAUUAUUAUAAUUGCUUCCCCAUGUAUACAUGUUCACCAUAGUACUUAACCUUAGGAUGGGUUUGAAACAUAGCUAAAUUUCAGAAAAAAAUUUUACUGAACAAAGAAGGACAAAUGUGAGGGAAAAAAAGUAAGACAAUUGCAAAGCAAAAUUGUAAGUCAGUGAACCUGCUUUGAAAUCCUCCUUUAUUUUAGAGAAUGUUUUCUUGGCUGUCUUCCUGUGUUCACAAAUACUAUGGAUUUUGGUUAAACCACAAACAUACCUUAGAAAAUUUAUAGAUGAUAAGCUCAUAAGCUCUUUGGGUAUAGAUUUUUAAAUUAAAAGUUAUAAAAACAAUAAUACAAAAUAGAGUUUUACAAAAUGUAUUCACACACAUAAACAUUCAGUCUCCAUUUUGGGUCAUCUUUGUGUAUGUUUCCUUUCUCAUCAGAUCAAAAAGACAUUCAUGCUUAUAUACUUAUAGAUGUGAUAUCAUCUUCUGUCUCUUUGUUUCACGUUUGAAAAACUUCCUACUUAUUAGCAUAUUGAGCUAUCCUGUAUAAUUCAUGGGAGUCUUGAUAGCAUAAGAAUAUCUGUGAAGUUGGAAGUAUUCCACCAACUUCUCAACCGCAUGACUUGAUGUUAAAGAUAUUAAGAGGGGAGUUCCCGUUGUGGCGCAUAACUUAAACAUACCAGCUCUAUUUUAAAAUUAAAAAAAAAAUAUGAUUCAGUCAAAAGACAUAAUAUCUACAUAAAACCAGAAGCAUAACUGCUGUCAGAUUAAGCAGAUAAUACCUUCAAGCUUACGAUUCAGUAGACUCUAAGUUCUGAUGAAGUUUCAAGUCUUUAAAUAACUAUUUCAAAGACAUCCAACAUUUGAAGCAGUUUUAACCUCUAGGUCUAGUGACUCUAAAGGACCGGACUUUCUGAAUCUUCAUUAGUGUAUCCAUUCUUAUUUGAAAGGCAAUAUGAAUUAAAUAAAAUUAAAAAUAAUUACAAUUUAUGGGGUUUUUUAAAAUUUAUUUUUUGGGGGCCACAACCACAGCAUGUAGAAAUUCCCGGAUCACGGAUCGAACCUGUGCCAUGGCUGCAGUGACAACACUGGAUCUUUAAUCUGCUGUGCCACAAGGUAACUCUACAAUUUAUAUUUUAUAUAUUACAUUACUUCGCAAUUUUUAGUCGUAUGAAGUAGUUAGAAGAUUCUAUCUUUUUAAUUCCUUUAAUUCAAGUACUACAUUAAUCUUGUUAAUGUUCUGUUUUGACUAUGAGCCUUGCUGUAAGUGUUCUACAAAUCAGGCUUCAAUAUAAAGCCAGCUCUAUCAUGAACGUAUUGAAACGUUACAUGAAUCUCUCAGUAAUUUACUCACAAUAUGCAUUCCCAUGGCAUUAGUCCUUGGGAUAGUCUUAUAGUAAAUUUCAAUGAAUCCAACUUACUUUGAAAAUCACAAGAAUAAGAAAUUACGGUACUGGUGUUUCAAAUAAAAUAAGCAUGGAAAUUACUUAUAUUUGAAAUACAGAUUUUAGAAAAAUGACAUUCAGUUUGAAUAUUCUGAAGUACAUGAAAUAAUCAAGUCCCUGUUUGAUCUAUAUCCUUAUUCUCAUUUCAUAAAAAUAUACCAGCAAAGGUUUUUUGCAAUGACAAAGAAAUAGAUUUACCUGAAUGCAUGAUAAAAAUUCUUAACUUAGAAACAAGAACAUGAGGCGAGAAGGGAAAAGUUAGAGAAUGAUUUUUCAUCUGUUUCUUUUUCUUCCAAUCAUUGCUUUUACAUUUCAUUUAGAGGGUUAGGUACUUUCAUGACAGUGUUUUUUUGAUUUGUAUAUUUGUGUAGUAGUUAGUGAAUUAUUUUUUAAGUUGCAUUUUCCAAGGGGAUCAGAAACAGUGAGAGUGAAAACAAAGAUAAACAAUCUGGUUUAUAUAGAACUUUUCCAGUAUUUAAUUUUCAUUUUAGGUGGCAUGAAAAUAGCGUUUAUUAGUAUAUAAAUUUUAUGCCGUAAUUCUUUACUCUGACCCCAGUCAGCAACUAGCCAUUAAAAUCUGAUAAAAUGUAAUCUGACUUUAUUUUUAACUCUGGGAGUGCAAAUAUUAUAUAUUAUUUAUGUGUAAACUUGAAUUAAAUAUGCAUCAAUGUUAUAAUAAUUUAAGAAUUAUGGUAUUAUAGAAUAAUGAUAAAAAAGCAAGUCACAAAAGCUCAUUUUAAUCAAUAAAUCAAUAAAAGGACACAAUAGAAAAAUGUGGCAAAAUGACCAACAUAUAUUUGACAGGAACGGAAGAAUAUGAUGCUAACAGUAUGAAUAUGAUCAUACUGUAAGAUUUCAAAAUUCAUGGCAAAAUGCUACCUUGAUUAAAUCACUGAUACUCAAAAACACUCCUAUUGUUACUGUAAUAUAGUACAAAUAAGAUUCCUAACACCCAUCAACAAAUAUGUUUAAUAUGUUUCAUAUAUAUGUAUAUCAAUUUAUAAAAUAUGCUUAUUUCACAUAUGAACUAUUUCCAAAGUGCUGUUUUGUUUUGUUUAUUUAUUUGGUUGGUUGGUUAUUUAUCUCUGAGAUUAACCAUGGCCUCAAAUCACUAUUGUUUGCAAAUUAUCUUUCCUUUAAAAUAUAUGGCUAAAAUAAAAGAAACACUUGUGGUCAUUAGUACAUUCUUCUCAAUAUAAAAGCUGUGAAAUAUUUUAUUAUUACACUGAUGUUACAAAUGAGUCAAGAAAGAAAUCAUCAUGUGAAUAAAAUAUUCAGUAUUUUUAUUCUAAGCUUUUAAAGUUAAGAGUAUAAGAUUUAAUAGUAGUAACUAUAUAUUUCAGAGAAAAUAUAAAUAGUACACCUUCUGAACCAAUAAAAAAACAAAAACAAAUAUCCCUCAAGGUACUAUCACUCCAAACUAUUAGCAUCUUUGUUUUUUAAAAACACAUUGUUUUUUCACAUUAGAAUUAUAACACCACUACCAUUUUGUAUCUCUUUUUUUUUGUUUAAUAAUCAUAAAAGUAAUUUUUUGCUUCAGCAUGUGUUAAAAAGUUUAGUUUACUGUUGAAUCUCUUUCCUUUAUAGCUUUCUGAUUGAAUUGUGACGAAUGAUUCCUUCUCCUUGAUUCUGGGUGAUGCAAAUGUAGUUUCACGAAGUGAAUAUUAUUGUUCAUCUCUUGAGAGACACCUUUCCCUUUGAGAAAUUAAAACAUUAAAGGUAACAGAAUGUCUUUCAAGACCCAGUUCUGAGCCCAUUCUACCACAGGCUUCCCAUAGUCUCAGCUUAGAUCCUGAGAAACUCUGGCUCUCCCCAGAGUCUGCUCCCCUCUCGGUUCUCUAUAUAUAGACAGAAAGACUGAUCUCAAACUUUACCAGCUGGGUCUGAACUUCUCUCAUGGUUUUUUGCCAGUCAUUAUGAAGUAUCUUGCAUAUUAUUUCUCAUUCCUUCUGAUUACUAGGGUGCUCAAAGUGCCUUUACCCCAAACUUUGAAAAGCUGUAUACCACCUUCUUCCAGAAGAAUUCAUAUAUAAAUGACUGCCUGGAUUGGAAUGGAGUUUGCUUUAUACUCCUUGAAUCAGUGAUUUUGCAUUUAGAUUACUGAUAUAUUUUCUAAACCAUGACCUCUGGUCUGAUUAGGGAUCUCUUAGCAGAGCCGACAGAUGAUUGGUGCUAUUUAUGGCACACUUGAUUAGCAUUCAUUGUUACGUCUUUGGCUUUUCACACACAGAAGAAAAAAUUUUAUAGACAUGUGUGAGGACAAUUUUUGGGCACUCCAAGUGAGUUGCAUAGAAUAGGAAACAGCCAGACUGUUGGAUUGGCAGCAGCUCUGGCUAUUCCUGUCCAAUAGUUUUCUGCUUCCUUAAACAUUUUAACACAAUCAGACCCGCAAAAAUUAAAUUUCCAUUGAAAAACACUGCCACAUUAUUUUUCACAUAUGCUUCAUAAAUAUCUACCUUAUUUAUAUUACACAUACUAUUAUCUACCGGCACUCUCAAGUAAUCAAGUCAACAAAAUAUCAAACAAUUGUAGAAUUCAAUAUCAAGACAUUUUUCAUGAUAUCAUAAUGACAUGCAUUCUAUCAGAAAUUAACAAAAUCUAGACUGAUCACUUUGGGGAGUAAAUUACAUCUUAGUUAAGACUUCAUGAGAUGGGAGGAAUAAGUAAAAUUAUGGAAUUUGUUAGAAAGUCAUAGGAGGAGGUCCCGUCGUGGCACAGCAGAAAGGAAUCCGACUAGGAAUGAUGAGGUUGCUGGUUCGAUCCCUGGCCUCGCUCAGUGGGUUAAGGAUCAGGCAUUGCCAUGAGCUGUGGUGUAGGUCGCAGAUGUGGCUCGGAUCUGGCAUUGCUGUGGUUCUGGCGUAAGCUGAGCCAUAGCAACAUGGGAUCCGAGCCGCGUCUGCAACCUACACCACAGCUCACAGCAAUACCGGAUCCAUAACCCACUGAGCAAGGCUAGGGUUCAAACCCACAACCUCAUGGUUCCUAGUCAGAUUCGUUAACCACUGCGCCACGACAGGAACUCCACUACUGCAACUAUUAUGCUGGAGCUUGUGAAGCAUUUUUAUAAACUCCAGUCUUGUCUUUCUAGUUCUGCAGUAGAUGCUCCAUUUUUAAUAUUCAAGAUCAUUUAUUAAAUCAAGACAUGAUUUUAUUAUCAAGAAUUAAAGUAAACCAAUAAUCCAAAAUAAAAUGAGACAUCUAAUUUAAAAACAAUUAGUGAGCUGUAACAAUUCUAAGGUAAUUAUCAAAUGCUAGUCAGAACAAUAUUGAAUAUUUCUCUACAUUUGGCUAGAUCUUAUAAAAUGACUGACAUAUACAUUCAUUAUAAAUUGGAUCAUCUGAAAAUAUGUGCAAAUUUCAAUCUUUCAAAUAUUUAAUAUUUAAUCAUACCUAACAAUAUUAAUUUUUCUAAUCCUUAAACCUGGAAUAUACCAUUCGGCUAGAUAUUUUCAAAUCUUUUUCAACAAUAUUUUCAAUGUAAAGGUAUUUUAAAUAUUUCAUUACAUAGUCAACAAAAUCUUUUUAAUAUGAUUGCUUAUAAGUUUCAAGUGCACAGCUUCAUAGUUC